GAUGAACGCUGGCGGCGUGCUUAACACAUGCAAGUCGAACGGAAAGGCCCAAGCUUGCUUGGGUACUCGAGUGGCGAACGGGUGAGUAACACGUGGGUGAUCUGCCCUGCACUUCGGGAUAAGCCUGGGAAACUGGGUCUAAUACCGGAUAGGACCACAUUUUGGAUGGUGUGGUGGAAAGUUUUUCGGUGUGGGAUGGGCUCGCGGCCUAUCAGCUUGUUGGUGGGGUAAUGGCCUACCAAGGCGUCGACGGGUAGCCGGCCUGAGAGGGUGUACGGCCACAUUGGGACUGAGAUACGGCCCAGACUCCUACGGGGGGCAGCAGUGGGGAAUAUUGCACAAUGGGCGCAAGCCUGAUGCAGCGACGCCGCGUGGGGGAUGACGGCCUUCGGGUUGUAAACUCCUUUCGCUAGGGACGAAGCGUUUUUGUGACGGUACCUGGAGAAGAAGCACCGGCUAACUACGUG
rnacentral:rRNA from 1 species